CUCUCUAAAUCUAUCUAUUUCUCUCUCCUUUUGUAUUUUUCCCAUCUUCUUCUUUUUCUUCUUUUUGUGAUGUUUUCUUUUUAAAUGAUUUACUUGUUCCAUUUACUUUUGUUGUUCUUCCAUAUUCUCGUUCUUGAAACACACACACACACACACACACACACACACACACACACACACACACACACACACACACACACACACACACACUCAUUCACUCGCACACCACAAGACAUACAUACAUACACACAAGUACAUCAUUAACAGACAAACGGGAAGGAACUGAAGGGAAGAGGAGGAAUGAUAAUACUGAGAAGUAGGAGGAGGAAGAAGAGGAGGUGGAAGAGGCUGUCAAGAAGGAGAAGGAGAAACGAUUGAAACUACAAAAAAAACCCAAUUAGUCAACAGCUCCUGGAAAUUUCAACGCCGCGGUGGGCCUGUCGCCGCGAGAGAGAGGGAGAGGGAGAGAGGGAGACCGAGACCCGAGACCCGAGAACAAUAGGACUUCAACACACACGAGAGCGACCCCACCAACGCCUCUUAUGCCUUUUCGUUCUGCCGAAGUGACGCCCCCCCCAACCAACCACCACCACCACCACCACCACUGUCGCUACCACCACGACCACCAUCAUUACCACCAGAAGGAGUAUAACCUCUCCUCCUCCUCCUCCUCCUCCUCCUCCUCUUCUUCCACCUUCUCCUCCUCUUCCUCCUCCUCCU